AGAGUUUGAUCCUGGCUCAGAUUGAACGCUGGCGGCGUGCCUAACACAUGCAAGUCGAACGCCCUUCCACCUCUUCGGAGGGGGAGGGAGUGGCGGACGGGUGAGUAACACAUGGGUGACCUGGCCUUUGGUGAGGGAUACCGGCGAGAAAUCGCCGACAAGCCCGCAUGAGGUCUCUCUGGUAGGGCAGAGAGAGCAAA
rnacentral:rRNA from 1 species